AUUAUAUAUUUUUAAUUCUCCCACAAAAGAAGGUGCCUAACUUGUUUUUCCUUGUCUCAGAGGCUUUUGUAUUGCUGGGCAGAAACCAAAUAUUUCUAAGGAGCUAGGCUUGGCGUUACCUACUUUCAUAGGACCACCUGGAUACAGCCAAGGUGAAGGCCCCUCUGCUGGGCCGGGGGCCAUCAGCGCAGCUGGAGUUGUUGGACUGGGCACAAGGGAGCUUUUCCAGAUGAGGCCUGAGGUCUGCUCUGAUCAACACUCCAAGGUUCCCAGAGACCAGAGCCAGAUGUCCCCUGCCCCAGCACCCUGCUCAGGACCUCCUGAAGGUGGAAAAAUCCUGUAGUUACAUCAAGAUCCAUUGGAUCUCUUGUGAAGUUUCCUCUGAUCCCACCAGCAGAAUUAAUUGCUUCUUUUAUGUUCCCGAAGAACUUUGUUCAUACCAUUGACAUGGUGCUUGAAAAGAUGUUGCUGAGACCGAUGUCGAAGAGCGUACUGC